rnacentral:rRNA from 1 species
CUUGCUAAGGCCGAUGGCGACCGGAGGCACGGAGUGAGUAACACGUAUCCAACCUGCCGUCUACUCUUGGACAGCCUUCUGAAAGGAAGAUUAAUACAAGAUGGCAUCAUGAGUCCGCAUGUUCACAUGAUUAAAGGUAUUCCGGUAGACGAUGGGGAUGCGUCCCAUUAGAUAGUAGGCGGGGUAACGGCCCACCUAGUCUUCGAUGGAUAGGGGUUCUGAGAGGAAGGUCCCCCACAUUGGAACUGAGACACGGUCCAAACUCCUACGGGAGGCAGCAGUGAGGAAUAUUGGUCAAUGGGCGAGAGCCUGAACCAGCCAAGUAGCGUGAAGGAUGACUGCCCUAUGGGUUGUAAACUUCUUUUAUAAAGGAAUAAAGUCGGGUAUGGAUACCCGUUUGCAUGUACUUUAUGAAUAAGGAUCGGCUAACUCCGUGCCAGCAGCCGCGGUAAUACGGAGGAUCCGAGCGUUAUCCGGAUUUAUUGGGUUUAAAGGGAGCGUAGAUGGAUGUUUAAGUCAGUUGUGAAAGUUUGCGGCUCAACCGUAAAAUUGCAGUUGAUACUGGAUAUCUUGAGUGCAGUUGAGGCAGGCGGAAUUCGUGGUGUAGCGGUGAAAUGCUUAAUAUCACGAAGAACUCCGAUUGCGAAGGCAGCCUGCUAAGCUGCAACUGACAUUGAGGCUCGAAAGUGUGGGUAUCAAACAGGAUUAGAUACCCUGGUAGUCCACACGGUAAACGAUGAAUACUCGCUGUUUGCGAUAUACAGCAAGCGGCCAAGCGAAAGCGUUAAGUAUUCCACCUGGGGAGUACGCCGGCAACGGUGAAACUCAAAGGAAUUGACGGGGGCCCGCACAAGCGGAGGAACAUGUGGUUUAAUUCGAUGAUACGCGAGGAACCUUACCCGGGCUUAAAUUGCAGAUGAAUUACGGUGAAAGCCGUAAGCCGCAAGGCAUCUGUGAAGGUGCUGCAUGGUUGUCGUCAGCUCGUGCCGUGAGGUGUCGGCUUAAGUGCCAUAACGAGCGCAACCCUUGUUGUCAGUUACUAACAGGUUCCGCUGAGGACUCUGACAAGACUGCCAUCGUAAGAUGUGAGGAAGGUGGGGAUGACGUCAAAUCAGCACGGCCCUUACGUCCGGGGCUACACACGUGUUACAAUGGGGGGUACAGAGGGCCGCUACCACGCGAGUGGAUGCCAAUCCCAAAAACCUCUCUCAGUUCGGACUGGAGUCUGCAACCCGACUCCACGAAGCUGGAUUCGCUAGUAAUCGCGCAUCAGCCACGGCGCGGUCAAUACGUUCCCGGGCCUUGCU